CAUGUUGUCGAUCUGUGUGCGGUCUGUUCGUUAAUCUCCACAACACGCCGCGACCGUUGGUAAGGUCUUGGAAAAGUUCAAGGUGCAACGAAUCUCACCGUAUGUCCCAAAUGGGACGGCUGCCGGACUUUCCGAGGCAUUGCAUGGAGCCUCGCUGCAGUUUUUGGAGAUUCAUGGCCUGGAAGUCGGUUUGCAGACCCCACAUCAGUGUGGAUGGUUGUCUUGAAAUGCGCGUGCACUAUAGUGCUGGCAAGGAUUUUGCACAUCCGCCUUCAUCUUGGAGCGGUGCAAGCUUAGAGCUGUGUCAGCAAAUAGAAGCAGCACAACACCAAGUCUUCACUGAGCCGUCCAACAAAUUAUCUGGCAUUUGGUUGUUUUCCUAGAGGUUUUCCCAUAGCUGGGGGUCCCAAUUUGACAUAACUACUGUAGCCACGGAAGGUCGGAACCUUGCACACCAGUCAUUGAUGAUUCUGUUCAUUUCCUGUUUUUUGCGGCGAAGGAGCAGCUCUGGGCUUUGAAAGGAACUGUGCCUAUUCAUGUGAUGUGUAACACCGCCCUGCAUUCGACUUGUUGGUUGCAAUUGAUUGGGAUCGGCACCAGGUCGGAGUCGAAUUGGUUCUUCACAACCAGAGAAAGACUCGGAAGUUGUAGAAUGCGAGUUUCGGUAAUCCAACGAUCCUGAUCUCGUUGGCUUUGAGUUUUUACAUUCUUAUCCGUUAUUCACUUUCGAAGGUAAUUUCAGCUAUGGAAGUGUUCAAGAAACUAUGCCUUCGUUCCCUUUCUCCGAAUCAAAAGGGGGUUUUGAAGGGUUCUGAAAAAUAAAUGCCACUCACUCUUUCCGUUACAUGGUUUUCGUCACUGGACAUGCUCUUGGAAUCUGCACACGCUAGUGGAAGCCGAAGUUGUGGGUCAGGAGGAAGGUGAAAAUAAACGUUGUUAUGCAAAACCUUUUCAAAUCUGAGUACCACAUUGCAUGUUGAUCGUGGUUAAAAGUGCGCUGUAAGGAACAUUAUGCCAGUGGUGAAAGAUGGCAGUCCACCAGAAGUUGAUCAAGUUUAUUUUCUUAAUGCGAAAUUGAGCAACAAGUUGACGAGAAUUUUAACUGGUUUCUGUAAUCCUUGUUUUUUCUACUUAUGUUAAAGCAAAUGUUUUCGUUGAAACGAGAUCACAGCGCACCUGCCAGCCAAGCUGGUAUCGCUUUCUAGUGUAAUUCCAGAUGCCACCUCGAUUCAAUCUUUUUGGAUAUCGCAUGUUAUGUUGAGUUGCUGGUGCCACGAGUUUGCAGCUAUCGCUGCUCAUGGUGCACGUAGACUUGCAGUCUAGCCAUGAGAGCGGUUCGAAGGCGAGCAGUAAACCUUGUUACUACUCCUGCAGGCUUUGCUAUCAGAUGCUUCUUCCUCUAUUCAGCAAGAAUUCUGGAUGCAAGCGUCACUGAUCUGAACUUUCUCGUAAGACGAAGUAGUGGCAUUGAUGAAAGUUGAGCAUUGUCUUGCGGCAAGAAUUCCACAAAUACCUGUCACCUUGGAAUGUGCGUAUUCUGGUGGAGUGUCCGAAUUCCAGAGGGUUUGUGCAAAUGUCGAACUCGAAAAAAAAGAUGUUUGCUUUUAUUUCAGACGAAUGUGGGGUCCUUCGAAUCAGAUUGUUCGAUACCAGGGAAAAGAAAUGGCAUAGAUUCGGAAUGCAUAACAUCAGGCGACGUAGUUGACAAUGUAGAUGGCAAUGUGGACAAUCCAAUAAUCUCGCAUUGGACCAUCUAGAAUGAACAGAGUGUGGUUUCAGAGCGUGUCACAUAGCCUCACAGGUGAUUUGAAGUUCCAGCGUGUAUCUCUGUAAAUGGAUACAAACCUCAUUUUGAUGGAGCUGGGAUUUAUAAUUGUGAUCGACACUUUACUACUAUCAUAGUAGAUAUGGCUUCAUCGAGGUUCAGUAUUCGUGAUUUCGGCUAGUAA